rnacentral:lncRNA from 1 species
CCGCCUGGGCAGUAUGAUAGCUACAUGCUCCUAACUGUCCCUCGGAGCGAGGUAUUUUUAUAAUUGGGGCCUGAGUUACCUAUACCUCAAUUGAUGAGAAUGAGAUUGGAAUAUCGUCGAGAGCUGACAAAAUACUGCUUUUAUCAUCGUGAUCGUGGCCACGAUACUGAAGACUGCCACCAGCUUCACGACGAGAUCAAGAAGCUCAUUAAGCAAGGGCGGCUAAAUCAUUUUAUCCAGAGAGCGACCCCUCAAUGUUGAACUCUGAGGGCUCAACAAUCACCCCCUUUGCCUCAGCAACCUCUCCCUCAGCAUCAGCCACAGCAAGCGUCAGCACGUUAGGAGCGGCAGCAGGUCGGAGGGUAGGCAG